rnacentral:rRNA from 1 species
CCUACGGGAGGCAGCAGUGAGGAAUAUUGGUCAAUGGACGAGAGUCUGAACCAGCCAAGUAGCGUGAAGGAUGACUGCCCUAUGGGUUGUAAACUUCUUUUAUAUGGGAAUAAAAUGUUCCACGUGUGGGAUUUUGUAUGUACCAUAUGAAUAAGGAUCGGCUAACUCCGUGCCAGCAGCCGCGGUAAUACGGAGGAUCCGAGCGUUAUCCGGAUUUAUUGGGUUAAAAGGGAGCGUAGGUGGAUUGUUAAGUCAGUUGUGAAAGUUUGCGGCUCAACCGUAAAAUUGCAGUUGAAACUGGCAGUCUUGAGUACAGUAGAGGUGGGCGGAAUUCGUGGUGUAGCGGUGAAAUGCUUAGAUAUCACGAAGAACUCCUAUUGCGAAGGCAGUUCACUGGACUGCAACUGACACUGAGGCUCGAAAGUGUGGGUAUCAAACAGGAUUAGAUACCCUAGUAGUC